rnacentral:rRNA from 1 species
AGCAGCCGCGGUAAUUCCAGCUCCAAUAGCGUAUAUUAAAGUUGCUGCAGUUAAAAAGCUCGUAGUUGAAUUUCGGGAUUGACGUGACGGUCGUGCCUUACGGGGUAUGAACUGUCGCCGUUGAUUUCUCACCUUCUGGAGAAGCUCGAUGUCCUUAAUUGGGUGUCUUGCGGAACCAGGACCUUUACCUUGAAAAAUUAGAGUGUUUAAAGCAGGCAUUAUUGCUCGAAUACAUUAGCAUGGAAUAAUAGAAUAGGACGGCAUGGUUCUAUUUUGUUGGUUUCUAGGAUCACCGUAAUGAUUAAUAGGGAUAGUUGGGGGCAUUAGUAUUCAAUUGUCAGAGGUGAAAUUCUUGGAUUUAUUGAAGACUAACUACUGCGAAAGCAUUUGCCAAGGAUGU